rnacentral:rRNA from 1 species
GUGGGGAAUUUUGGACAAUGGGCGCAAGCCUGAUCCAGCAAUGCCGCGUGCAGGAAGAAGGCCUUCGGGUUGUAAACUGCUUUUGUACGGAACGAAAAGGCUCUGGUUAAUACCUGGGGCUCAUGACGGUACCGUAAGAAUAAGCACCGGCUAACUACGUGCCAGCAGCCGCGGUAAUACGUAGGGUGCAAGCGUUAAUCGGAAUUACUGGGCGGAAAGCGUGCGAAGGCGGUUUUGUAAGACACGCGUGAAAGCCCCGGGCUCAACCUGGGAAUGGCGCUUGUGACUGCAAGGCUGGAGUGCGGCAGAGGGGGAUGGAAUUCCGCGUGUAGCAGUGAAAUGCGUAGAUAUGCGGAGGAACACCGAUGGCGAAGGCAAUCCCCUGGGCCUGCACUGACGCUCAUGUACGAAAGCGUGGGGAGCGAACGGGAUUAGAUACCCUUGUAGUCC